CAAUUAGCAACACACGCACUCUCUCUCUCUCUUCGCCGAUGGGCGUCGAAGGAGCCCAGAAGAAACCUCCUGUUCUCCUUCUACAUUUCCCGCAGUUCCUCAGUUGACCAUCAAGUUGGGAGAAAAGCUCAUGAAAACUCGGUAGACUUUCGUCCCAAAAUUGAACUCUUCGAUAUGGUGCUUAUUUGAGGAGAUGGCAUACCUUCAUCUUGAUAGCUUCCACAAGGAGGAGAAGGGUCGAGGGGUCAUGGUAAUCAAUCCCUGGUUAAUACAUCUAUUUUAAGACCAAUGACACGUGUUCUUGAGUAGCCAUCUACACUUGGUUUUGACCCACCACUGACACAACCUUGUUAAUAUAUUUGGUUAUAAUAUGAGACAUUAAUAUAUUUGAUGUAUUUACGUUAA